UUUUUUUUUUUUUUUUUUUUUUUUUUUUUUUUGUUU
rnacentral:ribozyme from 1 species